UUACCUGUGUGACUGCGUACCUUUUGUAUAAUGGGUCAGCGACUUAUAUUCUGUAGCAAGGUUAACCGUAUAGGGGAGCCGGAGGGAAACCGAGUCUUAAUUGGGCGUUAAGUUGCAGGGUAUAGACCCGAAACCCGGUGAUCUAGCCAUGGGCAGGUUGAAGGUUGGGUAACACUAACUGGAGGACCGAACCGACUAAUGU
rnacentral:rRNA from 1 species